UGCCCUGUGGGGGUGCCAGGGGGUGGCUCCAGUGACUGAAUUGGAACUAGACUGACAGGGACCUGGGGAAUCUACCCUAGCGGAUCCACUGGUUAAAUUAAA